rnacentral:lncRNA from 1 species
GGUGGCACUCUUAGGGACAUCAAUCAAAUACUCCCAUUGAUCUGCCAGAUCAAGAGAAUGAAUAGAUGUCCCUCUUUCCAAGGGAAUGGGAAGAACCUCCGAUACAGGGCCAGCAACCUCUGAUGAUGGCACUGGAGGAACUUCAGGAGGAGGGGGCACCGAAGAUGCACCUCUGGUACUUGCUCCAGUGGGCCACGGCUUCUUAACUACCCCUAU